UUUCAGCGGAAUUUAGCCGCAGCUCCAAUUGCAUGUAAUAAAGAUAAGCGCCGUGGAGCAAUGUGGGUGGGAAAUACUUUCAUUUGGCAAUUGUGACGGUUCCGCGUUUUGGUGUUAGAACGCAUUGCGGGGAGCCAAAAGCGUAAGUGGAGCACAGCAAAUUGAGUGACUGGUAAAGAAGUAGCAAGGCCAAAGCCUGACCUAGCGUAAGGUUGGCACCGUUAUCACUAGAACCGGGAAACGUAUUGUUUACCUUUUGUAUUUCAUUAUACUGUAAAUAACUAUAAUUUGGGUAACCUUAAAGUUAUCUCAUCUGUAAGUUUUCGUCAUACACUGAAUGAUUUUAUCUAAUAAUAGAUAUGUUAAUCUGAAUCAAUUCAACUGGGAGCUCAAUGAUGGUACAUUGAGUCACAAUGAAAGUAAUCGUAAGUAAAGCUUCCUUUUCCCUGGUAGCUUUGACGGCAUUAUAAGGGGCAACUAAUAUCUUACCCUAGCGUAACCUAUUUUGAAGUAAGCUGCAUGUAGUAUUUAUUAAUGGAAAAUCGAAUGGGCUGAGAAAAAUCCGAACGAAUAUGGUCAAGUUAUAAUUUAUCGGAAGGGAAACUUAUAUUGCGAAAAUAUCAUAUUGGCAGAAUUCGUAUCGAUGUUGAUAGAUCACUGGCCAGUAAAUCGGAAGUAUCUAAGUCAUUUCAGACUUUUAGACUUUAGAUAUCAUUUAUCACGGGAUUCAAUAAAUGUUUGAUAUAAACGGCUAUAUAUAUUAUUAAGAAUUUUAAAUAAGCGUAGGUGUUGUAGUAUAUUUAAUGAAGUGUUGAUUAAUAAUAUGGGUGGAUUUCAGUUUUCUAAUUGGUGAUCAGUUCAUAAUUCUAUGGAAGAGUUUUUCAAAUAUUAUACUUUCGCAACAAUAACUAACAUAGAUGGC